rnacentral:rRNA from 1 species
GAAGGUCCCAAGCGUUUGUUCGGAUUUACUGGGCGUAAAGCGUCUGUAGGCGGCGCGGUAAGUCAGGUGUGAAAUCCCGGGGCUCAACCCCGGAACUGCAUCCGAUACUGCCGUGCUGGAGGGUCGGAGGGGAGUCUGGAAUUCUCGGUGUAGCAGUGAAAUGCGUAGAUAUCGAGAGGAACACUAGUGGCGAAGGCGAGACUCUGGACGACACCUGACGCUGAGAGACGAAGGCCAGGGUAGCGAAAAGGAUUAGAUACCCUUGUAGUCCUGGCAGUAAACGGUGCACGCUUGGUGUGGGAGGAUUCGACCCCCUUCCGUGCCCGGAGCUAACGCGUUAAGCGUGCCGCCUGGGGGAGUACGGCCGCAAGGCUA